UAGCAACCUCCAGAAGCUACAAAAUGUUUUGUUUUAAUUUUAGUGUAUUCUUGCAGAACAUGGAAUAUACAAAUAUAUCUAUGUUUUUUCAUCUACUUUAAUUCACUGUAGUAAUUUAUUUUAUUUUUUAAUAAUGAAAGUCUUCAUAAAUUUGACAUAUGACUUUUGGCUACUUCACUUAAGAGUGAGUGUGUAUGUUGCAGAUUCAUGUGUGUGGUUUGCAUUUUUUUGAGGUUUUGGUUUGUUCUUAUUUUUCUUAUUUCACAUUUAUGUUUUUAAAGUUAUUCCUUCUUUAUUUUUUUAAUCACAGCAAUCCUCCCCUCAUCCAUGGUUUCAUUUUCUAUGGUUCCAGUUACUCAUGGUCAACCAUGGUCAGAAAACAGGUGCUAGUUCUGUGAUAGCAGGCGAGUUCUCGUGAGAUCUCAUCAUUGAAAAGUGUGUGGCACCUCCCCCAACCUUGGUCCUGCUCCUGUAACAUGUAAGACACCUGCUCCUGCUUUGCCUUCUGCCAGGAGUAAAAGCUCCCCUAGGCCUCCUACAAGGCAGAUGCUGCCAUGCUUCUUGCACAACCUGUGGAACCAUAAGCCAAUUAAACCUCUUUUCUUCACCCAGUCUCAGGACAAACUGAGAGUAAAAGAUGCAGGAAUAAAACACAGAAAUCAAAAUAAAGGGUUUACUGCUGAAAAAUCCGCUUGAACAAGCCUGUUAAUGUGAUCUUCCUGAAUGAAGCCAGCUUACCCCUAGGCCUCCACUGUCCCUCAGGAAAGAGAACACGAAAACUGGAACUCUCUGCAGAAAGGAGGAUCCCAAAGAAGGGGCCAAGCUGUACAUUUAUCAAUCAGGAAAGCCACUCCACCCUCCAUGGCAGCCCCUACAAUUUGAAACAAGUAUUCUUCCUAACAUAACACAUUAAUUCAUGAGUUUAUCAGUUCAUUUCAUUUUUACUUUGAGAUUUUUGUGAAUAACCAUAGAAAAAUCUAUUUCACCUGGCAAUAAAUAGGAAAAGGCACAGCAUAAUGUUUAAAUACAGAGAAUAUUGUUACAUGUAAGAUGUUGAUUGAAUGUUCUAAAUACAAUUUGAAAACUGCGUGAGAGGAGGAAAACGUAUAUUCAGAAGGACUUAGGUGAAUCCAGAUGAAUAUUUUCAUGACAGGAUGUUGGCUAUUGAUAUGAAGAAAGUAGAGGAAUAGACUUGCUAAAAGUUAGAGGAGUCUAGUUUAUCUUCCAAGAAGCUUUGCAACCCUGUAAUACUGUAGAAAUCACAAAUUUGGCAAUAAUUUUAAGAUAAUUUAUGUUCAUUUUUUAUGGAAUGCCAUGUUUAUCUUUUUAUAUAUGACAUUUUCUGGUCAGUAGUAAUAUAUAUAUCCUUUAUUAAAAUUGGAAAAUAAAUACAAACAUUUUAUUUAUUUAUUGGUUAAAAAAUUAUUAUGCUCAUUCUUUUUUUUUUUAACCAGUAAGGAUCUGGAUAAAGAAAAACAUUUUAGAAAACCACUUGUAGAGUACCAUGAACCAGUCUCUCUUCUCCAUUUUAAAAAAUUUAUUGACUCACUUUUUUUCCAUAACUUUUUGAGAUAUUAUUUCAACCACUUUGCAUUUAGAGAAAAAGAGUCAGAGAGUGAUUAAGAAAUCUGCCCAAUGCUAUACUGAUAGAAGCUGGGAGAACUGGGAUUUGAGCUUACAUAGGCUAGUUCUAGCAUUUGUGAAGUUCUCGCCUAAUAAAAAUUAUCUGUAAUCAUAACCAGAGCAAGUCAUUUCUAACCUCCUGUCUAUAGACACGCGGAUACAUUUGUAAUGUUUUUGUUUGUUUGUUUUUAGCACGACAGAUCAAUUCCUGCUGGCAUUAUAGUUCUUUAACUAUCAUAGCUUCUCUGAUUUUUCAACACAUCUGUCAUCCGUAUUCUGCAGGCAUAGCCAACUCUGUCAGUGUCUCCUCAGGCAAUCAGAAUCAACAGACAGAAUGUAGGACAGAAAACUGGCUGCAAACAUGUUGGAAGGGCUGGAGGAGCGAAAGAGGGAAGAUCUGUUACCUAGAGAUAGUAACUUCCAGAAGUUACCACUAUACUAGUGCAGGAGAAGCAGAAAGGAAGAUGCUGCUACCCAGAGCCCACAGUCAUUGUGCCCCUGAUGCCGCUGGAACCCCACUGCAGCUGCUUUACAGGAAGCAGGGAAUUAGCGCUCUUGCUGAUGCUACAGGUAUCCAGGAUCCAAAAGUCAUCAGCCGCUGUCCCUGUUGCAGCCUAGGGAAACUGUCCCACUGAGGUUGUUGGGGUACCUGCUACUGCAUCUACUGUCUGAACCAUGUUGCCUGAGCAGAUGUCCAGGGCUCAGGCUUGCCUGCUGCUGUUACUGCUGCCACCAUGUUUAUCAGAGCUACUUCAAGAAGAGAAGAAAUCCUCCUCAUUUCCAGUUUUUUCCAGUGCCUCCCAUUGCUUCCCAGAAUGCCAAAUUCUCUUUGAGAGACAGCUGAAAGGAAGGUUUGGAAAAGACUCUGGUGUAAGCAGAUUCUGCUUCCCUGCAAUAGGGGGAAAGCAUAGGGUGGAACUGGAGCUGAGAGCUAAUCACGAAUGAGCAAAUCAGUCUUCAAGACAUUUACCUUUCCUUGAAACGUUUCCCUUCUUUUACCGUGUUUUCCAUGUCAUUAUUUUUCCACAAUUCUGCAUCAUAUUCUGUUAACUAUUAAUGCCCUGGAUAAGUUUAUUUGCUCUUUCUUAGGGUUAAUUUUUCUCCUUUUCUUCGAAGCUUUAGUUUGCAGGUUCAGCUUGUGUGGGAAUUUUCAUCUCCCUCCUCUUCAAGACUCCUUGGAUAUCAGUUUUUUGGUUGCCUUCACCAACUCUCCCCCCACCAUCUCUAGACCAGGGCAUGGUCUUAGUUGGUGGCUUGGACUCCUGUGGCUUGGAGUCUUUGGGGAUAUUAGAGAUCCAGUCACUGAGCUGGCAAAGGGAACACUGUCCUUGCUUCCAGCUUUAUGAAGAACGCUUUGCUCUGUCACCCCACGUAAAUAAUCAUGUUAUUCAAGGAUAAUGAAUGCAGCCACCAUGUAAUCAUCACUGACUCCAUGGCCAUGAGAAAAGAGACCUAAGAAAUGAUGCCCAUCCAGAAGAGUGAAGACUUCCUGAAAAUGUUCUUUUAACCUAAGAUGUAGGUUAAGAGGAGUGAAAAAAUGUUCUGUUUCUGACUGAUGAUGGAGCAACAAAGGAACUCCUAAAGAAGAAAUCAUCCAUUCAGUGAGAGCAAAUGAACACUCCAACAGACUGAAACAAAGCAUCUUUACAGGAGAUGUGAAUGCGAGAAAGCAAAGAGAACUACAGUCAGGGUCUCCGCUGGCAUGGCCCAAGCCCACCGUGGCAUGAUCCAGAGAGACGAGUCAGCAGAGCACUAUGGGCAGCUCCCAUACUCUUCGCAGAUCAACAAGCCAGCAUAUAACCCAGGGAGAUAGAUAAUAGUGAUGCUGUGCUCUGUAGAGGGUAGUGGCAACAGUGGGAUUUCUUCUGGAAUAAAUCUGUAGUGAGCCAGAUGUUUCUGCUGACUAUAUUACUUCUGACAGUGUAUAAUCCAAAAUUGUUUCCUUGGCCUUCCAAAAAGUUUUAUAAGCUCCCUAACGGCUGCAAUAAAUCCCUUUCUUCUUAAACUAGCUAGAGUGGAUUUUUGUUCUCUACAAAACAGAUCCUGCCACUAAGAACCCCACUAGUAUUUGUUGCCAUGAUUAGGGAAUAAGUUAAACCACUGUAA
rnacentral:lncRNA from 1 species